AGUUAUGUAUUUAGAAUAAUGGGAAAUAAUGAGUCACUGCUUGUAAUAAUAAUGUGUUUGUUUGCGUACACAUUUGCUGUGUCAUCAGAUAAAACCAGGUGUCAGAACUUGCAUGUGAAAUGCCCCAUCAUCAGAAAUCAUUGAACCUGCUCUGUAUUAUUGAUCAAUAACCAAUAGCAGUGCAGGGACUGUUUGGGGGGGAGGAGCUGUGCUGGCUGUUGAUAUGGAAAUGAUAUUGAAAACCAACAUGCAGCUCUACUUUACUGUAAGUAUUGUGAUUUGGGGGGGAGAAAAAAAAGGACCAGCACUGCAGCAUCACCACAUCUCUGCCUCACCUGUCAUAAAGCGUGUGCAUUUCCAGUAAUGGCUGACCAGCAGAAGCUUGCCUCACUGUGGGUUUGGCUGUUGCUUAUGGCAACACUGUGCCCAGGUGCACAGCAUGUGUACAGUAAGCACGGAGGCAGCAUCAGAGGGCGAGGAAAAGGUGACGGCAGCAAAGUGUCUCUCCCUCAGAGCAAAGGCCUCCUCCCCAAGCCGGGCCUGAAGUGGGCAGGAGCAGCUGCAGCGGGUAUGCUGGGGGGCACGGGCACUGGGUACGGGCUGGGGUUCUUCGGGAAGCCUAAGCACAGCUCUGGGAAUCGUCAUGGCCACAGGUCCACCUCUGAUGGAGGUCAACAGCAAGGCCAAGGAUAUCACAACCGGUCUCUGUGGAGAGCCUUUGGAAACGCAGCUGCCCCUGCUCCCACAACUAACUUCCUCUGCCUCACAUUUGUGGUGUCUUCUCUAGCAGUCUGGGCAAGAGGUGAUUGAUCUAUGCUCUGAUCAAACCAAAUAAAAACUCCUUUUAAAUUUU